AUCUUAAGUGGUAUAUAUAAGAUA
rnacentral:snRNA from 1 species